rnacentral:rRNA from 1 species
GACGAACGCUGGCGGCGUGCUUAACACAUGCAAGUCGAACGGAAAGGCCCUGCUUUUGUGGGGUGCUCGAGUGGCGAACGGGUGAGUAACACGUGAGUAACCUGCCCUUGACUUUGGGAUAACUUCAGGAAACUGGGGCUAAUACCGGAUAGGAGCCCCUGCUGCAUGGUGGGGGUUGGAAAGUUUCGGCGGUUGGGGAUGGACGCGCGGCUGAUCAGCUUGUUGGUGGGGGAGUGGCUUACCAAGGCUUUGACGGGUAGCCGGCCUGAGAGGGUGACCGGCCACAUGGGUACUGAGAGACGGACCAGACUCCUACGGGAGGCAGCAGGGGGGAAUAUUGCACAAUGGGCGGAAGCCUGAGGCAGCAACGCCGCGUGCGGGAUGACGGCCUGCGGGUAGUAAACCGCUUUAGCCUGUGACGAAGCGUGAGUGACGGUAAUGGGUAAAGAAGCACCGGCUAACUACGUG